CAGUAACUUUUUAUACAUAAAAAGCUACUGUACCUCUCCAUUUCCAACAAACUCCUUCUUCCUGUCUUCUCCCGCUUCUUCCUGUCUUCUCCCGCCAGCCCCAAAAUCAACAGCAACAAAAUCACCAGCAACAAAAUCAACAAAUUGCUACUUCGCAGGUUCAGAUUGUAAACGUGGAUGGUUCCGAUUUGUAAACAUAGGCUUCUAUUGGAAACUAGGGUUCCGAUUUGAAAAGGAUUUUUCUAUCAUCAACCGAUUCAUCCUUCACAUCUCCAUCCCUCUGCUAUAUAAGUGGUGGUCAAACUAAACGCUCAUCACAAGCAGGCUGGACAGAUGAAGAGGACACCAUAUUAACUGAUGUAGUGAAGAAGUACAUUGGGAGGAACUGGAAGAAAAUAGGUUGAGUUAAUUGCACGUUUGAUCAAAUGGUUCGUACAUUCUUUCGCAAGUUGUUGAGAUACCUAUCUUCGGAUGAUGAUAGCGAUGAUGAUCUUUAUGAGGAUGUCGAAGAACAAUGUACUCGCAAACGUCGUAAAUUUAUUCGACGCGAUCAUAUUCAGGGACAUGAGCGUUUAUAUCGUGAUUAUUUUGCAGAAAAUCCGGUAUAUCCCUCGAAUCUAUUUCGACGAAGAUUUCGGAUGAGUCGUUCUCUAUUUCUCCGUAUUCUAAAUGAGGUAGUGGCUAACGAGAGUCUUAAAAAAUUCGACGGCGGCACUUAGAAUGUUGGCCUAUGGGGUUAGUGCUGAUUUUAUGGAUGAAUACAUACGCAUCGGUGAAAGCACUGCAAUGGAGAGUCUUAAAAAAUUCUGUGAGACGAUAGUAAGUAUUUUUUCAUCUGAAUAUCUACGAUCACCAAACACAAAUGAUAUUACCCGAUUACUUGCCGUUGCGGACCAACGAGGAUUCCCCGGAAUGUUUGGAAGCAUCGACUGCAUGCAUUGGAAGUGGAAAAAUUGUCCCACAGCCUGGAAAGGUAUGUACUCUGGCCACAUUCGUGAACCUACUAUUAUUUUGGAGGCGGUUGCUUCAUAUGAUUUCUGGAUAUGGCAUGCAUUUUUUGGUAUGCCCAGUUCACAUAACGACAUUAAUGUGUUAGAGAGAUCUUUUGUUUUCACGGAACUUGCACAAGGGCGUGCUCCACCAGUCAAUUACACAGUCAACGGCCACGACUAUACUAUGGGGUAUUACCUUGCAGAUGGUAUUUGUCCUGAGUGGCAAACUUUUGUAAAAACGAUUCCAUCACCAAGAGGGAACAAGAAUAAACAUUUUGCAAAAGCACAAGAAUCUGCAAGAAAAUAUGUCGAGCGAGCAUUUGGUGUACUUCAACAACGAUUUGCAAUCAUUUGAGGACCUUCACGAAUGUUCAAAUUGAAGGUACUAACAAAUAUAAUGAAAGCAUGUAUUAUUCUUCAUAACAUGAUCAUUGAAGACGAACGUGAUGAUGGUGAUAGUCUUAACAUUGAGUAUGAUCAACUUGACGAUGAUCUCCCUGAAUUGUCGCGCACUCAAACAAAGGAGUUUAUGGACUUCAUCCAACGUCGUCUUCAUAUUAAAGAUAGCUCGGCACAUCAUCAGCUUCAAGAAGACCUAAUUGAACUUCAAUGGCUACUCUAUUCCCAACAAUAAAUGAUGUCGCGCUAUAUUAGAUUGUUUUGUGAAUGUUAUGAGUUUGAUUUAGAAAUAUGUUAUGUGAUGAUCAUUAGAAUUAUAUAUGUAUGAGUAGAACUUAUUAGCUCAACUUUUGUUUAAGUUUGCAUCUAUUUGGACAAUUGAGUUGUAAUGUGUUACCAUCUUAAAUUGUGGGUUGUUGUUUUCGCCA